rnacentral:rRNA from 1 species
ACGGGUGAGUAACGCGUGGGAACGUGCCCUUCGGUUCGGAAUAACUCAGGGAAACUUGAGCUAAUACCGGAUACGUGCGAGAGCAGAAAGGUUUACUGCCGAAGGAUCGGCCCGCGUCUGAUUAGCUAGUUGGUGAGGUUACGGCUCACCAAGGCGACGAUCAGUAGCUGGUCUGAGAGGAUGAUCAGCCACACUGGGACUGAGACACGGCCCAGACUCCUACGGGAGGCAGCAGUGGGGAAUAUUGGACAAUGGGGGCAACCCUGAUCCAGCCAUGCCGCGUGAGUGAUGACGGCCUUAGGGUUGUAAAGCUCUUUUCUCCGGGACGAUAAUGACGGUACCGGAGGAAUAAGCCCCGGCUAACUUCGUGCCAGCAGCCGCGGUAAUACGAAGGGGGCUAGCGUUGCUCGGAAUCACUGGGCGUAAAGGGCGCGUAGGCGGCUGAUUUAGUCGAGGGUGAAAGCCCGUGGCUCAACCACGGAAUGGCCUUCGAUACUGAUUGGCUUGAGACCGGAAGAGGACAGCGGAACUGCGAGUGUAGAGGUGAAAUUCGUAGA